CGGAGGGGCGAGCGUUGUCCGAAUUUAUUGGGCGUAAAGCGCGUGUAGGCGGACCAACAAGCCUGGGGUGGAAAGGUUGGGGCGUCAACCCCAUACAGUGCCUUGGGGACUGUUGGUCUGGAGGCAGGCAGAGGAGUGUGGAAUUCCUGGUGUAGCGGUGGAAUGCGUAGAGAUCAGGAAGAACACCCGUGGCGAAGGCGGCACUCUGGGGCCUGUACUGACGCUGAGACGCGAAAGCGCGGGGAGCGAACGGGAUU
rnacentral:rRNA from 1 species